CUACGAAAACUGCACAAUGUGGGAAACCACGAUGCGGGUAUUCCGAGUGACAACGCAUUGCGUUGUCUGUUCUUUCGCCUAAAAAGCGAGAGAAGUAAGGGCCGGGUAAGACGGGUGCCAGCCGCCGCGGUAAUACCCGCGGCCCGAGUGGUGCUCAUUAUUAUUGAGCUUAAAGCGUUCGUAGCCGGCCUCGUAAAUCCUUGGGUAAAUCGGGCAGCUCAACUGUUCGAAUUCCGAGGAGACUGCGAGGCUCGGGACCGGGAGAGGUCAGAGGUACUUCGGGGGUAGGGGUAAAAUCCUGUAAUCCUCGAAGGACCACCAGUGGCGAAGGCGUCUGACUAGAACGGAUCCGACGGUGAGGGACGAAGCCCUGGGGCGCAAACGGGAUUAGAUACCCCGGUAGUCCAGGGUGUAAACGCUGCGGGCUUGGUGUCGGAGGUCCUACGUGGGCGUCCGGUGCCGUAGGGAAGCCGUGAAGCGAGCCACCUGGGAAGUACGGCCGCAAGGCUGAAACUUAAAGGAAUUGGCGGGGGAGCACCACGAACGGGUGGAGCUUGCGGUUU
rnacentral:rRNA from 1 species